CGGCGGACGGGUGAGUAACGCGUGGGUAACCUGCCUCAUACAGGGGGAUAACAGUUAGAAAUGACUGCUAAUACCGCAUAAGACCACAGCACCGCAUGGUGCGGGGGUAAAAACGUACCGGUGGUAUGAGAUGGACCCGCGUCUGACUAGCUGGUUGGUAAGGUAACGGCUUACCAAGGCGACGAUCAGUAGCCGACCUGAGAGGGUGACCGGCCACAUUGGGACUGAGACACGGCCCAA
rnacentral:rRNA from 1 species